rnacentral:rRNA from 1 species
GUGAGUAACGCGUGAGAAUCUGCCUCUAGGACGGGGACAACAGAAGGAAACUUCUGCUAAUCCCGGAUGAGCCGCAAGGUGAAAGAUUUAUCGCCUAGAGAUGAGCUCGCGUCUGAUUAGCUAGUUGGUAAGGUAAAAGCUUACCAAGGCAACGAUCAGUAGCUGGUCUGAGAGGAUGAUCAGCCACACUGGGACUGAGACACGGCCCAGACUCCUACGGGAGGCAGCAGUGGGGAAUUUUCCGCAAUGGGCGCAAGCCUGACGGAGCAAGACCGCGUGGGGGAGGAAGGCUCUUGGGUUGUAAACCCCUUUUCUCAGGGAAGAACCAAAUGACGGUACCUGAGGAAUCAGCCUCGGCUAACUCCGUGCCAGCAGCCGCGGUAAUACGGAGGAGGCAAGCGUUAUCCGGAAUGAUUGGGCGUAAAGCGUUCGUAGGUGGCUAUUCAAGUCUGCUGUCAAAGACAGAAGCUCAACUUCUGAAAGGCAGUGGAAACUGAGUAGCUGGAGUGCGGUAGGGGCAGAGGGAAUUCCCGGUGUAGCGGUGAAAUGCGUAGAGAUCGGGAAGAACACCGGUGGCGAAAGCGCUCUGCUGGGCCGCAACUGACACUGAGGGACGAAAGCUAGGGGAGCGAAUGGGAUUAGAUACCCCAGUAGUCCUAGCUGUAAACGAUGGAAACUAGGUGUUGCCUGUAUCGACCCAGGCAGUGCCGUAGCUAACGCGUUAAGUUUCCCGCCUGGGGAGUACGCACGCAAGUGUGAAACUCAAAGGAAUUGACGGGGGCCCGCACAAGCGGUGGAGUAUGUGGUUUAAUUCGAUGCAACGCGAAGAACCUUACCA